ensembl:lncRNA
GCACGGCGGUGCAGAGAGCCGCCCAGGCGGACCGCAUCCUGGAGACCUCCAUCUGGAACAAACGCAACGUCGGUGUUGGAUGUGGAGGUGAAAUAUUCUGAGACGACGAAAUCUGCGAGUAUGUCUGAGCAAAGGAAAAUGGUCUCGGUGUGAAGCAGCUGAUAUACCUUGUGAGGAGGCCGAGAUACGGAAACAGUGCUACAGGGAGACACGAAGGACAUCUGAUCAUCCUUGCAGUGGAAAACCAUGUGUAACCAUGUGUCCCUUCCCAGACGUGAUGGAGAACUUGCACAUGCCUUGGUGGAAGAGUGAGGGAACGUCUCACAGCAAGAA